UCAGUUGGAGAUCUGCCUAUCCCAAACUCUGUUCAUUGGAUCUCAGUGGAUCUUGGGAUUGGAUUGCUCCCUUAGCAUACUGUUAAGCCUUUUCAUUUUAGAAGAUCUUUAGAGAUAAUCCUGUAAUGGACCAUAUCAAAAGCGGCGCUACGAAUUGCACUGGGAACCCAUCGUGUUCUGAAGCUUUUAACACGCAAAAGGACUAAGAAGGGGUUGUUGUUUUGUAGAGCUAUCCUACCC